UACAGAGGUCUCAAGCGUUGUUCGGAUUCAUUGGGCGUCAAGGGUGCGUAGGCGGCGCGGUAAGUCGGGUGUGAAAUCUCGGAGCUUAACUCCGAAACUGCAUUCGAUACUGCCGUGCUUGAGGACUGGAGAGGAGACUGGAAUUUACGGUGUAGCGGUGAAAUGCGUAGAUAUCGUAAGGAAGACCAGUGGCGAAGGCGGGUCUCUGGACAGUUCCUGACGCUGAGGCACGAAGGCCAGGGGAGCAAACGGG
rnacentral:rRNA from 1 species